rnacentral:misc_RNA from 1 species
CAACCCUCAAGCCCCUGCUGUGGACUUGGUGUUGGGGACCGGCGAUGGACAACCGUCCUCCGCCGCCCCCUAAAUGACUUGGCGGCCUCGUCGCGGCCCUCCUCUGCGUAGUAGCAUACACCUCGCAACAGGAGCCCGGCGAAUGGCCACUGCCGUAAAACCCCCAACUUUUUCAG